GAAGUAGAACGGUUAAUCGGUUCUAGUGGGAUUCAGUCACUAGAGGUAACGGGGAAAGAACGGUGAAAUUCCGUCGCUGUCCCGCAGCUGUGAACUGCUGAAAAAUUCGUCAGCAGAAGUCAGAACGCCCGCCGAUUUUUUUCAAUCGAC
rnacentral:ncRNA from 2 species